rnacentral:lncRNA from 1 species
GCUGCCUAAUAUUUCUAAAAUUUAUGAUAGGUGUAUUACUUGUUAGUGUAUUAUUUGCUUCGUACCAGCUCUUUAACAUGUUCAAGUAAAAUGAGGGUAGUAUAUUACUUAAAUUAGGUAAUGAUUUUAUGUUGUCUGGCAUCAUAUGAAAUAUAAGGUUGUUUUUACCAAAUUUAUUGAAAUAAUAUGUUGGGAUGACUUUCCAAUUAGCAAAUUCUUUUGCGGUUAAUCUUUUAACCCAUGAAAUUUGUAAUGCAUUCAAAAAGUAAUCAAUGUCUGUCAUUUUUAGACCUCCAUUUGUGUAAUCUUUGGUAAGUGUUGAACGUUUUACCUUUUCUUGUUUAUUAUUCCAUAUAAAAUUGUAUAUGAGUUUUUUUUAAAU